UACGUAGGGGGGCAAGCGUUGUCCGGAAUCAUUGGGCGUAAAGCGCGCGUAGGCGGCCCGGUAAGUCCGCUGUGAAAGUCAAAGGCUCAACCUUUGAAUGUCAGCGGAUACUGCCGGGCUAGAGUCCGGAAGAGGCGAGUGGAAUUCCUGGUGUAGCGGUGGAAUGCGCAGAUAUCAGGAGGAACACCAACGGCGAAGGCAGCUCGCUGGGACGGUACUGACGCUGAGGCGCGAAAGCGUGGGGAGCGAACAGG
rnacentral:rRNA from 1 species